AUUCCCUGUGGGGAUGGUAAAACCUUAUACCUGUGUUUGAGUAACUGAAGGCAUAGAAGGAGAAGUCCUCGGGUAAAAUGCUGCUUAACUGUAUGAAAUAUUUUCAAGUUCUCUGUUUUGUGAAGCUUUGUAAAAGAGUUUGAGGAUCAGUAAACUACCCGGGUACUUGUGCAGAUUUGCAUCUGUUCUAGUCUUUUUCCUCUGGUCUGUUUGAUAUGUUACUAAACUUCCAAGUUUGUAAUGGUUAAAGAAGUUAUCGAGAUUGGAAAGCUUCGAGAAGCUCAUGCAAAGCCAAUAUAGUUCAAGGAUGGUACAUGACUUCUUAGACAGGUAACACAUCCUCUAAGUGAUAGAAACAACUUAACCAACUCCCAGUCGAAGAUGAUGACUGCACUGGUAAUGCGAAGGAGAUGAUAAUUGGUUCGCCGUUAUUGAGCAAGAUGGGAAGUGGCAAAGUUCUCAGGUGGCAACAAUGAUGCAUCAUCAUCCUCAUGCUCGGCAAGCCAUGGGAAUUGGUGCUUCUAGACCAGCUAGUCGAGCAAGUUGCGAUACUGGCUACUGCUUGAUCCUGCAAUAGCGAUUACUGGUCGAGAAAAUAGGGCAGCGCAAGUGUUUUGUACUACGCAUGUUUCGUUCUUCAGAUUUGUUUGAAGACUUGUCCUUACGGAGGCUAUAUACAACGGUGAUGAUAGGAAGGGAUCUAAACUGAAAAGAGCUCCUCAUGGCAAGGUACCACUGGAAACAUAGUAGAAGAGGAUCUGGAAUUUUUCGGUUGCAACAAGUUGGGGACGAGUUGCGCCUUAUCAGAAUCUCACAAGCAGUUAUUUGAUUAUGUCAGCAACUUGAUCUCAGAUAACAGUCUUGAGGUAUAAGGUGCCUUGGACUUGAAGUACUGGUGCUUGCAGAAGUAGGCCUACUCUUUGUGAUGUAUUUUCAACUUAUCUUUCAUGUAUACAUAUCUUUUAUUCCAACAAUAAAGUGUAAGUACUAUGUAUUGCUGGUUUGGAAGAGUUUAGUUGAACCUAAUUUAUGUGAUA